AACAGUUUCAAGAAUCUUCCAAGCUUCCUUUGCUGAGACACAUUUUUUGAUCAGUUUGAAAAUGUGUUUGUCUACCCCAUUGUAUAAUGCAUAUAAUGCUUUUGAGUUUCCUAAAGCAAGCUCAUCUUUUUCUUUAGACCAGUCCUCCUCAGCUUUUAGUUCAAGUGUUGGCUUUCCAUCCUUGUCCAUGACCACAGGGGGGUCCCAUCCUUUCAGAACAGCUUUCCAAGUUUUGCUAUCCAUAGAUUUUAGGAAAGCAAUCAUGCGUGAUUUCCAAUAAUCAUAGUUGGAGACAC
rnacentral:lncRNA from 1 species